rnacentral:rRNA from 1 species
GACGAACGCUGGCGGCGUGCCUAAUACAUGCAAGUAGAACGCUGAGGACUGGUGCUUGCACCGGUUCAAGGAGUUGCGAACGGGUGAGUAACGCGUAGGUAACCUACCUCAUAGCGGGGGAUAACUAUUGGAAACGAUAGCUAAUACCGCAUGACAAUGGAGGACCCAUGUCUUUCAUUUAAAAGGUGCAACUGCAUCACUAUGAGAUGGACCUGCGUUGUAUUAGCUAGUUGGUAAGGUAGCGGCUUACCAAGGCGAUGAUAGGUAGCCGGCCUGAGAGGGUGGACGGCCACAAGGGGACUGAGAUACGGCCCUU